rnacentral:rRNA from 1 species
UACGAAGGGGGCUAGCGUUGCUCGGAAUCACUGGGCGUAAAGCGCACGUAGGCGGAUCGUUAAGUCAGGGGUGAAAUCCUGGAGCUCAACUCCAGAACUGCCUUUGAUACUGGCGAUCUUGAGUUCGGGAGAGGUAAGUGGAAUUCCGAGUGUAGAGGUGAAAUUCGUAGAUAUUCGGAAGAACACCAGUGGCGAAGGCGACUUACUGGACGACUGUUGACGCUGAGGUGCGAAAGCGUGGGGAGCAAACAGGG